UCGGAAUCCGGGAAAGGGGCGGGACUUCCCCUUUAAACUGAAUAAUACUCUUCCUCUCCCGCUGGAGAAACUGGGAGGUUUGGCUGGCACAGCUGAGCGGUUCGUGACCCGAUUCCAGGCCCCUGAGCCUCUCUACCUGUGCUGGAGCUUAGAGUCUGCACAGACACCAGGGUCCAGCUUAGAUAUAUGCAAAUCCUGAUUUUUCUCUGAACAGUGAAGCCUCAAAAUAUGUAAAAUAACCAGUAAAUUAAAAUACCAACACACUCUGGACUUCAAAGGAGUUACGUUUUAAUUUUGUCCUGCUGGGGAGGAACAGGAACAUACUGAAGACCAGUGUGGCUGGAGGAUAUAAGAGAAGAAGAUGAACAGGAUGGUGUUAGAGAGCAUGCUGAGACAAACACAUAAGGGCCUGGAAAACCAAAGUAAGGAUUCAGGAUUGCAGUCUGAUAGAAAGGUAUUGAUAAUCAGGGGAUGAUAUUAUCUGACAUACCAAAAAGAUACAUCUGCUGCUGGGGAAAGAAUUGAUCAUCAAUGUCCAAAGGGGAAAGCAAGAAGACCUGAAUAUUACUGGAAUAGUUCAGGCACAGAGCCAACUUGCUAAUUAGAUUGCAUAUGGGGAGCAAGACAUUCAGCAGUUAAGUAGAUGGUGCCAUUUACUGAAAGGAGAUGACUAUGGGAGCUAUGUUUGAAGGGAAAGUCAAGAGUUCUUUUGGUGGUAUUGAUUUUGGCUGUCCAAAUGAGCAUCCAAGUGAAGAUUUAAGUAGGAAGUCUAGAUUAUAAGAAUGAAAUUCAUUACAGAGGUGGGGCUGGAGACAGAUAUGGGAAUCAUGGGCAAAUAAAAAAACCAUAGAACCAGAUGAGAUACAUUGUGGAAGAAGAGGACCAAGGCCCAAGACAUAGGUCCUGCAACAUUUAGAAAUCAAACAGAGAGAACAUGCCCAAAAGGGUAACUGAGAAGGAAUGGUUAGAGAGUAAGCAGAAAAUCAGAGAAUAUGGUGAUACAAAACAACCAAAAGAAUAUGGUGUUUCAAAGAUCAAGGCUGCCAAAGACUGCCAAAAAAUGGAAAAGCACAAGGACAGAUGAGAGACCACUGGGUUUGACAUCGUGGAUGGAACCAGUAGCCUUGAAAAAGUUUCCACUAGUUUUGGGGGACAGAAGAUUGACUAAAGUAGAUUUGAGAAAGAAUGGAAAGUGGCAGGGUGGAAACUAAGGCCAAUGUGCAUAUGAAGGGAGCAGAAAAAUGAGAUCACAGUUAUAGAGGGGCAGAACAUUAGAGGAAAGCUUUUUACCUUUAAGGUGGGAGCUACUAUAACUUUUUUAUAAGCUGAGAAAGAAAUGAUCCUAUAGAGGGGGAAAAGCUGAUGAU
ensembl:lncRNA